AUUGAACGCUGGCGGCACGCCUAACACAUGCAAGUCGAGCGGUAACAUGGGUAGUAGCAAUACUAUUUGAUGACGAGCGGCGGACGUGUAAGGACCAUGUAGGAAUCUGCCUUAACGAGUGGGAUAACCCGAGGAAACUUUGGCUAAUACCGCAUGAACUCGAGAGAGAUAAGCUGCCUGCAAUGGUGGCGCUCUAAGAGGAGCAUGCGUCCGAUUAGCUAGUUGGUGAGGUAAAUGCCCACCAAGGCGAUGAUCGGUAACUGGUCUGAGAGGACGGCCAGUCACACUGGGACUGAGACACGGCCCAGACUCCUACGGGAGGCAGCAGUGGGGAAUCUUGGACAAUGGGGGCAACCCUGAUCCAGCGAUGCCGCGUGGGUGAAGAAGGCCUUCGGGUUGUAAAGCCCUUUAGGCUGGGAAGAAGAUUGGUGGUUUAAGAGACAAUCAAUUUGACUGUACCAGCAGAAUAAGCACCGGCAAACUCUGUGCCAGCAGCCGCCGUAA
rnacentral:rRNA from 1 species